AGCCCUAGAUAAAAUCUAAGGUGUGACCUGCCCAGUGACUUUAAAAUAAAAGAAUAAAAAUCUUAAAAUAAAGUUAAAAGGACGCGGUAACCUUGACCGUGAUAAUGUAGCAUAAUCACUCGCCAUUUAAUUGGUGGAUAGUAUGAAUGGUCGGACGAAUAUUCCACUGUCUUAGAAAAAAAUAAAUAAAAUUGAAAUAAUAGUUAAGAUGCUAUUUAAAACUGUAAGACGAAAAGACCCUAUAGAGCUUAACUAUAGUCUCUAUUCAAAUCAAUAAAAAUAAAAUUUUAUAAAUAUAGAGAUAGGUAGUUUAGUUGGGGCGACUGUCUUCUAAAAAUAACGAAGAUAAGCAAUAUUAAUUAAAAAUUUAUUGUAUAAUUAAAAAAUUUAACAAUUAUAAAAAUAGGCUAUAAUGACCCGUUAGAUUAGAAUAAAAUUUCUAACGAUCAAUUAAUAAAAGCUACCUUAGGGAUAACAGGAUAAUUUUAUUUUAGAGAUCAUAUCGAAAAUAAAGUUUGUCACCUCUAUGUUGAAUUAAGAUAUCCUGAUAAUGCAGCAGUUAUCAAAGGUAGGUCUGUUCGACCUUUAAAAUCUUA
rnacentral:rRNA from 1 species